GAUGAACGCUGGCGGCGUGCCUAAUACAUGCAAGUCGAGCGAACGGACGAGAAGCUUGCUUCUCUGAUGUUAGCGGCGGACGGGUGAGUAACACGUGGAUAACCUACCUAUAAGACUGGGAUAACUUCGGGAAACCGGAGCUAAUACCGGAUAAUAUUUUGAACCGCAUGGUUCAAAAGUGAAAGACGGUCUUGCUGUCACUUAUGGAUGGAUCCGCGCUGCAUUAGCUAGUUGGUAAGGUAACGGCUUACCAAGGCAACGAUGCAUAGCCGACCUGAGAGGGUGAUCGGCCACACUGGAACUGAGACACGGUCCAGACUCCUACGGGAGGCAGCAGUAGGGAAUCUUCCGCAAUGGGCGAAAGCCUGACGGAGCAACGCCGCGUGAGUGAUGAAGGUCUUCGGAUCGUAAAACUCUGUUAUUAGGGAAGAACAUAUGUGUAAGUAACUGUGCACAUCUUGACGGUACCUAAUCAGAAAGCCACGGCUAACUACGUGCCAGCAGCCGCGGUAAUACGUAGGUGGCAAGCGUUAUCCGGAAUUAUUGGGCGUAAAGCGCGCGUAGGCGGUUUUUUAAGUCUGAUGUGAAAGCCCACGGCUCAACCGUGGAGGGUCAUUGGAAACUGGAAAACUUGAGUGCAGAAGAGGAAAGUGGAAUUCCAUGUGUAGCGGUGAAAUGCGCAGAGAUAUGGAGGAACACCAGUGGCGAAGGCGACUUUCUGGUCUGUAACUGGCGCUGAUGUGCGAAAGCGUGGGGAUCAAACAGGAUUAGAUACCCUGGUAGUCCACGCCGUAAACGAUGAGUGCUAAGUGUUAGGGGGUUUCCGCCCCUUAGUGCUGCAGCUAACGCAUUAAGCACUCCGCCUGGGGAGUACGACCGCAAGGUUGAAACUCAAAGGAAUUGACGGGGACCCGCACAAGCGGUGGAGCAUGUGGUUUAAUUCGAAGCAACGCGAAGAACCUUACCAAAUCUUGACAUCCUUUGACAACUCUAGAGAUAGAGCUUUCCCCUUCGGGGGACAAAGUGACAGGUGGUGCAUGGUUGUCGUCAGCUCGUGUCGUGAGAUGUUGGGUUAAGUCCCGCAACGAGCGCAACCCUUAAGCUUAGUUGCCAUCAUUAAGUUGGGCACUCUAAGUUGACUGCCGGUGACAAACCGGAGGAAGGCGGGGAUGACGUCAAAUCAUCAUGCCCCUUAUGAUUUGGGCUACACACGUGCUACAAUGGACAAUACAAAGGGCAGCGAAACCGCGAGGUCAAGCAAAUCCCAUAAAGUUGUUCUCAGUUCGGAUUGUAGUCUGCAACUCGACUACAUGAAGCUGGAAUCGCUAGUAAUCGUAGAUCAGCAUGCUACGGUGAAUACGUUCCCGGGUCU
rnacentral:rRNA from 1 species